CGCCGGUCAAGGUGGCAGCAGUGUCAAAAGCUGUGCAGCUGGAUGGAUUUUCGCUUUUGGACAUUUGUUAUGAUGCAUCACCAUAGCAACAAGGACGUUUUCAGAUCCAAAUGAAGAACCAAAUCAGGACUCAAAGCAUGUGUGAAAUAAGAAGAAUUAUUUACAGCAAGCAACCAAACCGUGAUCCAGGUGGGAACUAAACAGAGAAGAGUGGGCAGGCAGAGAACUGAAGGAAAAGUAGGAGCUGCUUACAGUGCCCAUGGCUGAUUUCUUUGAGAUGUCUGUCUUGGAGGAUGUUGUAAGAGAUCCAGAGAUGAUGCAGUAACCAAUGAGAGGUCAGCAACAUGGGAGGCACAGCUAGGUUGAGCAUCAGGCCAAGACAGGUAAUCUCACAGCUCCUUAAAUCUCCAAACUGCCUGAUGAGAGAACUGCUGACAGGGUGAUGAGGAUCAGGUGCGCUUUCAGUUCUGUAUAAAACCAGUAAGACAUCGGCGUCCUGGGGCUGAAGAUGGAAUAAAAAAAGAGAUAAGGAAGACAGAGAAAAGCGACUCUUUUUGCUGGAUUAUGAAAAUGCAGGAAAAUGAAAAAUAACCCUCCAAAUAAACAUUCAGCUUUAGACGCUAAAA